rnacentral:sRNA from 1 species
GCUGGCUGCAGUGGUGCACACCUGUAAUCCCAUCUACUCAGGAGGCUGAGGCAGAAGGAUUGCAAGUUUGAGACCAGCCUGGGCAAUGUAGCAAGACCCUGUCUCAA